rnacentral:lncRNA from 1 species
UUAAUUCCUAAGAGUGAGUAAUUUUCUCAAGCAGUGUGACUGGACUAAAAACGUCACUAGUUAUUAGGUAACCUAGGGAGUAAUAGUUUAGGUUAGCUGUUUAUUGGAAAUUGAGUUUGAUUAUAUGGGGAAAGUUGGUAAGCAGGAAUUGGGUCUUUCGUGUAAAGAAAAAGAGGGACAAGUAUGAUAAAGGAAUUGGGGUUGGUAGAGCAUUGGGAAGACGUGUUGAUAUGGAUCUAGAUUAUGAGGCUGGAGUUGCUGCCUAUGGUGGGGAUAAACCUGGUAGUGAUGUUGAAGAAGGUGACCCCGAUUAUAUGACUUUCUUGGCUAACACUAAGCCACAUGGGGAAUCAUAUGUUUUUAAAGCUACAGAUCAGAAUGGGUUGCCUGUUUUAGUCGAGUUUGAGAAAGAUAGGGAGUCGGAGAUUCAUCGAGUUGAAAAGGGCCAGGGUAAUGAAUUGGCCAGAAAGAAUAGGAUUGUUGAGAAGCAGAAGAUGAAAGAUGGGAUUUUUUUGAGUAGGAAGCGACGAAAUGAGGAUAGGGGUUUAGAUAACAGGCUGCAGAGAGUUGAUGCGAAGAUUGUACCCGAUAAGGUGCAGAAGACUCAGAAUGUUAGCAAAUUCAUGGAUGCAGGAGUAAAUAUAGAACCUAAAGAAAACUCUGAUGGUAAGAGUAAUCUGAUUCUUGCAUAAAAACUUGUGUAUGAAAUCAUUCUCGAAUAUUCAUUUGGAAAUAUUGUCAUUUGGUUUAUGAAGCUCUUGAGGAGGCAAUAUCCGAAAGUGAAGUAGAAAUCCUUGAGAAUGUAGGUGCAGAGCUAGGCAGGGGCAGCAGCUUUAACCCCUUUGUACCUUCAGUUCAACAUGUAUGAUUUCAAUUCUUCCUUUAUUUUAUGUUACCUCUUAGUUUUGGUUCUCCAUAAUAAUUCUUGUAAGCAUUGGCUUCUAAUUUUGUGUAUCAAGCUGGAUGCGACAAUCAGAGAUUCUGGGUAUAGGAAGGAGUGUCUGAAUUUAUUGAUGAGGCCCUAUGAUGAAGAGGAGUAUACGAAGCUUUGGAAAGACAUUAAGGUGCAAUUACCAUCUAGCUCAACAAAUAAACGUCGGGAAUCCCUUCUAUCACGACAUAAAGGUAGGUUAAUAGCCUACAGUUUGUUUUCCAACAUUGUGGCGUGUCUUUGCAUUUUGGAUGCUUCUCUUGUGUUUUGAAUUUUUCUCAGGCCAUGCCUUUGGUUUCAAGUUUUAUGUAUUCAAAUUUAAGAUAGUAUCCAAUUCCGUAGAAUUCCCUCACUCUCAUUUAGACAACUUAACAAUAGUUUCUUGUCUUGUUCUUUCUCCAAAAAAUGAACUGAACUUGCUAGCAAAUCUUUACUGAUCUGAUUUAGAAAAAGUUGUCUCUCUUUUUAAUCUGAUUUUCAUGUAGCUUGUAGUAGAGUAUGUUAUCCUUUUGUUUUCUCUACACUUAUUACCAUUUUACUUGAGGCAUGACCAAUGUAACUUUUGAUACAAUAUAAUAUUUACUCACAGAGAAGUGCCAGUGGAAACAAUAGUCGUGAAAUGCAAGUGACCUCAUCAAUAAGAAAAAGUCAUGUAAGGCAAGUGGACACGUUGCGACUCCAAGAAAGGGAACUAAGAAAAUAUUUCUUGGAAGAAAUAACUGUUUUGAAGUCUGAAAUGAGAAACAGCAGACCUAACUUGCAGAAUAUGCUGAAGGUCAUCAACUCAUAGAUAAUCAAAAUAUUUUAACAGGCGGGGGUCUCUCUAUCCUGAAGGUGAUAUUUUUUUCAUUCUUCAAAGCCUUCUUUCAUAGAUAAUCAGUAGUAUUCCUCUCGCUAGCUAUUCUGAGUAAGAGGGUGAGGACUUGAUGUGACUACUAUUAGACCUCCAACCCCGUGAGACUCUUAACCCUUUCCCUGCCCUUCUAUAGAGAGGUUGCCCCUUUCUCCUCGGGUAGUUCACUCACUCCCUGUACCUACCAUUUCUAUAUACUUUUGAAAAAAGAGAGGUAGAGCUAGGAGCUCAAUAUUGGAAGAGCGCCCUCUCUUUUCUUCGGGAAAUCGAGUUAGCUGGUCUGGUUCCCUGUCCCCAAUAUGUAACGAAAAGAUUGACUAGUUUACCGCAUUCAUUCAUGAAAGCACUUGCCUCUCUGGUGGGCCUUUACCUUUCAAAUAGAAGAGAGGUAGUCGCCGCAGGAGAAGCACCCCUAAACCCCUUAGAUCACUCGACCCCGACCGGCCAAUCUCCUGUCAUUGCUAUCUCGCGCGUGAAGGGUUGCUCAUGCAUCCCAAACGUCACGCAUUUUUAGGUCAUUAGUUAACAGCUCCCUCGAUAGUGAAAUAGGGGUGACUUCACGUUGUUUCCCGACACGCCUAUCUUUGUUUUAGGGAAAUCCUCUCCCUAUCCAGGCGGAUGCCGCACCUUGCGCUUGUGAAUGAGUGUGAUAUUUAAUUUAGUGUUGUCAAGGAUCAUUUAAGGCACGCUUAAGUCCUAAAGCACAAAAAAGCUCAUGGAGGGCGAUUUUCCUCACUAAGCUGCAUUUCAGUCUAGGCAACAAAUUAUUUGCGUCGCCUACUUAUUGCGCAUUCCCUCCACAUUUGGGUUCAUUAGCAUUACUUAAUUGGCAUCCUAGAACCAAGCUACGUUCUUAUUGAUGCAGGGUGUUUUCACUAUAUAGAGAUAGGAAAAAAAUUAUAAUUUAGAUUGGGUGUUCAGCUUGUAGGGGCAUUUUGAUCAUUUUAAAUAUACUUGCUGUCAAUGGCCUUUCCAGUGACUCGAUUAGGUUUUCUAGUGCGCUUUUGGAGUUGUUGCUAUGUGUUAUGGAAGAGUAGGAACUGCCAUUUGCAGAUUCUAUUUGUUUCACUUGGCUUCUUGAUUUAAGUGAUAUCAAAGAAAAAGGAAAUAGGAGUGUGCAUACCUUAUGAAGAAUAAUAGACAACAAUACAUUCUUUACAAAGAGCAAUCAAUGAUCUAUCAGAAAAAUCCAUCAUACCAGGAAUCUCAUGGGUGCUCUAGAAAUGUAGAAAAAGGAAAAAGGUCUCCUGAAGUUGUGUACACAAACUGGUUGUCUCUUACAUGUAUGCUCUCAUCGUUCCUAUAAAAAAAAGAUGAAUGCUUUCGUGAUGUUUGAUAUGAAAGCAUGUUUUGGAAACCCUAAAGUUGCUUGCUACUCUAUUAUCGGAAGAGGAUUCUUUAUAGAAAAGAAGAUAUUUUGAACUUUGGGUGGAUAUAGCCCGUGAGUAGCAGCCCUUGUGCAAGAAGUGCUGAAAUUGUGCCAAAACAACCUUAGCAUGAGAUAACCUGAUAAAGUUGACAAUUAAGGCACUAUAGUUGCAAAGCUUUUCACUUAGCAAGUUUUCUUUCCCACUGUGCAGGUUCAAGUAUCAAAAUUAACAUACAUUUGUAGGAGAAUCAGAGCCUUGAACUUUGGUGGACUUAGUCCCCGUAGGUUGCAGCCCUAGUGUACAAACUGCAGUUUGAAGGAAUCAAAUGUACGAUGGAAUAAUCUGAGGACAGCAAUUUAGAGCACUAUUGUUUCACUAGAUUUUCACUGUGCAAGUUCAAAAAUCAAAAUUAGCAUACUUAACCAACUGAAAUGAUAAAAUGAAUCUUUUAAUUGUGGCCCACUUUAAGAAUCCUGUGAAUAUUCUAGAAUAUAUGUAAAUAUAGUAGGUAGGUUAAUUUACUCAUAUUGUAAUUAGGUUCAUGUGGUUUCGUUGGAAUCUUGAGAGGCUCGAGACAAAGGGAUCCUUUAUCAUCUAUGUUAUUUAUUUUGGAAUGGAAGCUCUAAGCAAAAUGAUGGAUAGAGCAGUCAGGGGAGAUCUCUUGAAGGGUUUUGAUGCUUCCUUUAGAGGGGGAUAGCAAAACAGCUGUUACACAUCUGCUUUUCGCAGGUGAUACUUUGGUCUUUUGCGAUGCAGAGGUUUCUCAAGUAUAUCUGUUGAGACAAAUUCUUAUUUGGUUCCAAGUAGUUUCAGGCCCUCAAGAUAAAUCUCAACAAAUGUGUGUUCACUCCGGUGGGAGUAAUGAACAAUAUUGAGGAGUUAGCGCAAGUGCUGAAUUGCAAGGUGGGUACUCUUCCUACUACUUAUCUGGGAAUGUCUUUGGGUGCCUCUAACAGAGACCUAGUUGUGUGGAAUCCGGUGAUUGAGAGAGUAGAGAAGCAUUUAGCAGGGUGAAAAAAGAGGUACUUGUCCAAAAUAGAUAAAGAAGUUCUGAUAAAAAACACUCUUUCUUGCAUUCCUACAUACUUCACGUCUCUUCUUCAGGCUCCGAGCAAAAAAAGCCUGAAAGGUUGGCAAGACUCCAAAUUAACUGUCUUUGGGACUCAGCGGAAGGCAAUAAGAAGAUUCAUCUUGUGAAAUUGAGAGUUAUCGCUUUUCCGAUGGAAUGGGGUGGACUUGGUGUAAGGAUCUAAAGAUGUUCAAUAAAGCUCUGUUAAAUGGAUGAUUUGAGGUGGAAGAGAAUGCUUUUUGGAGGAAGUGAUAGCGGAAAAAUAUGGGAUUGUGGCUGGAGGGCUAGGAACGUUGUAACUCCGUUUGGGUGUGCUUUAUGGAGGAGUAUCAAGAAGGGGUGGGAGGACUUUUGUGGACAUGAUUCAUAUUAAGGUUGGGAACGGAAACAAGAUUAGUUUUUAGGUGCAUAAAUGGUGUAGGGAGAUUUAAACUUUACCUAUUUCAAAAAAUGGUGUAGGGAGAUUGAGUUGAAGGAAAUCUUUUCUAAUUUAUAUCGCAUCUCAAGCCAAAGAGAUGGGAUUACCAAUACAACAAAUUGGUACAUCUCAUAAGGGUGUGUUCCAUUGGGACAUAAGAUUUAGAAAAACCUACAUGAUGAGGAGAUGAAGAAUUCCACAAUUUGAUGGAGUUAUUAUAUGGGCUAUUGGGUGUCUGGAGAUGGCGGGAGAGUGGAGAUGGUUUAUUCACAAUGAGCUCUUUCUAUAAGAAGUUUUUUGUGAGAGAGGAAUUUCUUCCGCAUAUUUCAAUUUGGAUCCGUAGAGCUCCGAGUACGGUUAGUUUUUUGGUAUAGUUAGCGGCUAAGGGUGCUAUCUUUACGGCAAGAAUCCGAGAAAGAGGAGGAUUACCUAUUUCUGUUGAUGCUUUAUGUGUAUGAGUCGAGGCAAAAAUGUAGAUCAACUUCUUUUGCAUUGUAAGGUGGCUAGCCGGCUAUGGAGGUGAUCCUUAAUUGGUUUUGGAUGCAAUGGGUGAUGCCGGUAAAGUGAAGGAAGCUUUGAAAAGUUGGACCCAUUGAAGAGGAAAGAGAUGCUCGAAGUCGUGGAGAGUUAUGUCAUUAGCAAUCAUGUAGGUCAUUUGGAAAGAAAGAACUAGGAGGGCCUUUGAAAGGGUGGAACUAGAUUUUAUAGAAAUGCAAAGUAGUGUUGUCUCUAAUUUAUAUUCGGUGAACUUUUGGGGUUCCUAUUUAUUUAGAGGACUGGACGUCUUUUAUUGAGAAUCAUAUUUUGAUGUAGGUUUUCUCCUUUUGGUAUAUAACUUGUAUACCGGGUUUCCCUCAAAUGUUAAUAAAAUUAUUUACCAUAUCCAAAAAAAAAAAAUAGGUAUUGAUUUCCUUCCUUUUUAGAACAUGUAAACUUAGCUAUUUAAACCUUAAUAGUAUGAGGGAAUAAUCAAGCCCGAGUUCUCUCUUAUUUUCUCUCCCGUUUCCCAUGCUGUCAGAGCUUGGUUAAGGCCACCAACAUUGGAAGAGAAAUUCUGAACUCGCGUUUUCCCCGUUUCUUGCUUGGGUCUCCGAACAUAUCUCUAAUUUCGUAGGUGUUGUGAUCAAACCAACCCCACCGCAAGACUUGGACCACUGGCGCAAGCAAAACCCAGUCAGAUCUGCCACACCGGCAGCCCACGCGCUCUCACGUGCCGAGCCGUCAGAUUCUGGCUAACCGUUGUCUCACGCACCGACGUGUGAGCCUUCUUGCAGUUUCCGAUCAGUUUGCCAGUGCGAUUCUUUUUCCAGCAGGGUCAUCCCUCAAUUCCGAGCACAUCCACACUGGUUGCACUUGAUUCCGACCCUUUUCCAGUGAGUUGCCUAGUGAUUACGACCUCAUUACUGCCAGGUUUUCCAGAUUCUAGCAACUUUUUGCUUCCAGAUUCUGUCUAUUGUAGAUUUUGCCAGAUUUGGGUAACAUCUAUAUUAUGUCCCUGAUAUUUUUACUUUUUAAUUCCUAAGAGUAAUUUUCUCAAGAGGUGUGACCGGACUAAAAACGUCACUUGUUACUAGGUAACCUAGGGGGUAAUAGUUUAGGUUAGUUGUUUAUUGGAAAUUGAGUUUGAUUAUAUGGGGAAAGUUGGUAAGCUGGAAUUGGGUCUUUCUUGUGUAACGGCAAAGAGGGACAAGUAUGAUAAGGGAAUUGGGGUUGGUAUAGCAUUGGGAAAACAUGUUGAUAUGGAUCAAGAUUAUGAGGCUGGAGUUGCUGCCUAUGGUGGGGAUAAACCUGGUAGUGAUGUUGAAGAAGAUGACCCCAUAAUUAUAUGACUUUCUUGGCUAACACUAAGACACAUGGGGAAUCAUAUAUUUUUCAAGAGAUCAGAAUGGGUUGCCCGUUUUAGUCGAAUUUGAGAAUGAUAGGGAGUCAGAGAUUCAUCGAGUUGAAAAGGCUCAGGAUAAUGAAUCAGCUAGAAAGAUUGAAGAUGAAAGAAGGAAUUUUCUUGAGUAGGAAGCGGCGAAAUGAGGAUAGGGGUUUAGAUAACAAGUUUGAGAGAGUUGAUGUGAAGAUUGUAUCUGAUAAGGUGCAGAAGACUCAGAAUGUUAGCUAAUUCAUGGAUGCAGGAGUAAAUAUAGAACCUAAAGAACAUUCUGAUG